GAUGAAGAACGCAGCGAAAUGCGAUAAGUAAUGUGAAUUGCAGAAUUCAGUGAAUCAUCGAAUCUUUGAACGCACAUUGCGCCCUCUGGUAUUCCGGGGGGCAUGCCUGUUCGAGCGUCAUUAUAACCACUCAAGCUCUCGCUUGGUAUUGGGGUUCGCGGUUUCGCGGCCCCUAAAAUCAGUGGCGGCGCCUGUCGGCUCUACGCGUAGUAAUACUUCUCGCGAUUGAGUUCGAUAGGUCUACUUGCCAGUAACCCCCAAUUUUUACAGGUUGACCUCGGAUCAGGUAGGGAUACCCGCUGAACUUAAGCAUAUCAAUAAGCGGAGGA
rnacentral:misc_RNA from 1 species